rnacentral:rRNA from 1 species
UAAGAGGUCCGCCUGCCCUGUGACCAUGUGUUUAACGGCCGCGGUAUUUUGACCGUGCAAAGGUAGCGCAAUCACUUGUCUUUUAAAUGGAGACCUGUAUGAAUGGCACGACGAGGGCUUAACUGUCUCCUUUUUCCAGUCAAUGAAAUUGAUCUUCCCGUGCAGAAGCGGGAAUAACACCAUAAGACGAGAAGACCCUGUGGAGCUUUAGACACUAAGGCAGAUUCAUGUCAAAGACCCUUAUUAAAGGACAGAACAAGUUGAACCCCUGCUGUAAUGUCUUUGGUUGGGGCGACCUCGGGGAAAUAAAAAACCCCCGUGCGGAAUAGGAGUACCCUACUCCCAAAACCAAGAGUUACCACUCUAAUUAACAGAACUUCUGACCACUAAGAUCCGGCCAAUGCCGAUCAACGGACCGAGUUACCCCAGGGAUAACAGCGCAAUCCUCUUUUAGAGCCCAUAUCGACAAGGGGGUUUACGACCUCGAUGUUGGAUCAGGACAUCCUAAUGGUGCAGCCGCUAUUAAGGUUCGUUUGUUCAACGAUUAAA